UGAUCCAGCAAUGCCGCGUGUGUGAAGAAGGCCUGCGGGUUGUAAAGCACUUUUAUUGAGGAAGAAUAGGUUGUCGUUAAUAGCGCCAACACUUGACAUUACUCAAAGAAUAAGCACCGGCUAACUCCGUGCCAGCAGCCGCGGUAAUACGGAGGGUGCGAGCGUUAAUCGGAAUUACUGGGCGUAAAGCGUACGUAGGCGGAUAUUUAAGUCUGAUGUGAAAGCCCUGGGCUUAACCUGGGAAUGGCAUUGGAAACUGGAUGUCUAGAGUGUGGUAGAGGAUAGUGGAAUUUCCAGUGUAGCGGUGAAAUGCGUAGAUAUUGGAAAGAACACCGAUGGCGAAGGCAGCUAUCUGGGCCAACACUGACGCUGAGGUACGAAAGCGUGGGUAGCAAACAGGAUUAGAUACCCUGGUAGUCCACGCCCUAAACGAUGUCAACUUGUCGUUGGGGGAAUUAAAUCCUUCAGUGACGGAGCUAACGCAUUAAGUUGACCGCCUGGGGAGUACGGCCGCAAGGUUGAAACUCAAAGGAAUUGACGGGGGCCCGCACAAGCGGUGGAGCAUGUGGUUUAAUUCGAUGCAACGCGAAAAACCUUACCUGGUCUUGACAUCCUGCGAACUUUCCAGAGAUGGAUUGGUGCCUUCGGGAGCGCAGUGACAGGUGCUGCAUGGCUGUCGUCAGCUCGUGUCGUGAGAUG
rnacentral:rRNA from 1 species